UAUGUAUUUUUUACUAAUAUAUAUAGUAUUUAAAAUAACAAAGUAUCUUUGUUUUUUUUAAUAAUAAAAUAUGUUAAAUAUGACGAUGUUUACUUGUGAAAAAAACGGGUUUCAAUAAAAUUAACGCAUUUGAUAUGUCAUUAAAAAAACAAUACAACCCAAAGCCACCAACAGCAUAAAAAUGUUAAAAAUACAUUUGUCCUUUGUUAAAAGCAUUGCUGUAUAUAAAUGUUCUUUUUUGCUAAUUUGUUUUGUUUGCUAAUAUAUAUAUAUAUAUAUAUAUAUGUGUGUAUGUGUGUGUGUUUACAUGAAAUGUCAUUAAAUUUAGAAAUUCAUAAAGAGGUUAAAACAUUUAAGCAGUAUAAAAAGCAAUUAGAAUUUCCCAGAAGAGUUUCUUUAAUGUAGUGAAAUAUUCAUUUUUAAUUUCUGCUUUUUCUUAAUUCAAAGUUUUUUUUUGUUUUUUUGUUUUUUUUAAUGUCAGUGACUAAUAUAUUUAUUUUAACUCGGGAUUAAAAUUCCCUCCAGAAAAAGGGGUUAGUGUUUAAUUUCGAACUUUCGGCUCCAUACUUUUAUCCUAUCACUACGCAGCUAAGCAUGUUUCUGCAUGCUGAUUGGACCAACGACAGCGCACAGUCUGCUAGUCCUGCUGGAACUUUCUAUACGGGACUGUUAGCUACAGACGUCUUCUCUGUGCGGUAAGCGGUCCAGUUUUCCUUCAAAGCUCUAUCUGUAAACCGAUAAUAUUUUAGUAUUUCAUCAAGGUAAACAUUAUUUGUUCACAUUUCUAAAGCCGUGCAGUGACGGUACUUAAGCUUAGAUACGGUGCUAACAGGUUUGUGAUCGGUUACGUUAUAUUCUGCUGCAGACGGUCGAUGUUAGCUUAACGUGCUGUAUAUCUGUGGCGCCAACACAUUUGUUUUCUCGUCAGAGACAGAAACUUUGUGGAAAACUGAACAGGUUAAAAGUACUGUAACUUUUGGGACUUUUACUUCAUCUGGGCGUUCCUGCAGGAAAGUUCAUGCUGAGUCUGGAUCAAAACCUUGUGCAGGCCAACAUUACUUCAUUCAUCUCUGCACUAUGCAUGAUGUUUGCAAGCUACUACAACUUCAACAUCCAUUACCCACUAGAGUUGGCAUCAACUUUGGAGUUUUUACAGAGGUUUGUCUUUUUGGCUUUUAAUUACAAUUUUACAGAUUUUGAUCGCCCUUGAACAGAGGGGGCUCACACUAUUAGCAUGCAAGCUACUUUUGAGAGAAGUUCCAAAAGAUCUAUCUAUAUAUAAAUUUGAAAUUCUUAUAUUUAUCAGGGAUGUCCCGAUCCGAUCACGUGAUCGGAAAUCGGACCCAGUCACGUGUUUGAGGACUCUAUCGGAAUCGGACUCCUUUGUCCAAUCAGUAUCGGAUAUUUAAUUUAUUCUCAUUAUGAUCAGAGCUUUAUAUUUAAUCUUAUCAUUGCGGAUAAAUACUCCACUAGAAGUCUG